rnacentral:rRNA from 1 species
UACGUAGGGCGCAAGCGUUGUCCGGAAUUAUUGGGCGUAAAGAGCUCGUAGGCGGUCUGUCGCGUCUGCUGUGAAAACUUAGGGCUUAACCCUGAGCUUGCAGUGGGUACGGGCAGACUAGAGUGCGGUAGGGGAGACUGGAAUUCCUGGUGUAGCGGUGAAAUGCGCAGAUAUCAGGAGGAACACCGGUGGCGAAGGCGGGUCUCUGGGCCGUAACUGACGCUGAGGAGCGAAAGCAUUGGGAGCGAACAGG